rnacentral:rRNA from 1 species
CCUACGGGAGGCAGCAGUGGGGAAUAUUGGACAAUGGGGGCAACCCUGAUCCAGCCAUGCCGCGUGUGUGAAGAAGGCCCUCGGGUUGUAAAGCACUUUCAGUGAGGAAGAACGCCUGGUGGUUAAUACCCAUCAGGAAAGACAUCACUCACAGAAGAAGCACCGGCUAACUCCGUGCCAGCAGCCGCGGUAAUACGGAGGGUGCGAGCGUUAAUCGGAAUUACUGGGCGUAAAGCGUGCGUAGGUGGCUUGAUAAGCCGGUUGUGAAAGCCCCGGGCUCAACCUGGGAACGGCAUCCGGAACUGUCAAGCUAGAGUGCAGGAGAGGAAGGUAGAAUUCCCGGUGUAGCGGUGAAAUGCGUAGAGAUCGGGAGGAAUACCAGUGGCGAAGGCGGCCUUCUGGACUGACACUGACACUGAGGUGCGAAAGCGUGGGUAGCAAACAGGAUUAGAUACCCUGGUAGUC